UACGUAGGGUGCAAGCGUUAAUCGGAAUUACUGGGCGUAAAGCGUGCGCAGGCGGCUUUGCAAGACAGAUGUGAAAUCCCCGGGCUUAACCUGGGAACUGCAUUUGUGACUGCAUGGCUGGAGUGCGGCAGAGGGGGAUGGAAUUCCGCGUGUAGCAGUGAAAUGCGUAGAUAUGUGGAGGAACACCGAUGGCGAAGGCAGCCUCCUGGGCCAGCACUGACGCUCAUGCACGAAAGCGUGGGGAGCAAACAGG
rnacentral:rRNA from 1 species